rnacentral:rRNA from 1 species
CAGCCGCCACGGUAAUACAGAGGGUGCGAGCGUUAAUCGGAUUUACUGGGCGUAAAGCGUGCGUAGGCGGCUUUUUAAGUCGGAUGUGAAAUCCAUGAGCUUAACUUAGGAAUUGCAUUCGAUACUGGGAAGCUAGAGUAUGGGAGAGGAUGGUAGAAUUCCAGGUGUAGCGGUGAAAUGCGUAGAGAUCUGGAGGAAUACCGAUGGCGAAGGCAGCCAUCUGGCCUAAUACUGAAGCUGAGGUACGAAAGCAUGGGGAGCAAACAGGAUUAGAUACCCCAGUAGUCCCUGUCUCUUAUAC